rnacentral:rRNA from 1 species
UACGGAGGGUGCAAGCGUUGUCCGGAUUUAUUGGGUUUAAAGGGUGCGUAGGCGGCCUAUUAAGUCAGUGGUGAAAUCCUGCAGCUUAACUGUAGAAUUGCCAUUGAUACUGAUGGGCUUGAAUUCAGGCGAGGUAGGCGGAAUUGACGGUGUAGCGGUGAAAUGCAUAGAUAUCGUCAAGAACACCGAUUGCGAAGGCAGCUUACUAGACUGACAUUGACGCUGAGGCACGAAAGUGUGGGGAUCAAACAGG